UGAGGAAUAUUGGUCAAUGGACGGAAGUCUGAACCAGCCAAGUAGCGUGCAGGAUGACGGCCCUAUGGGUUGUAAACUGCUUUUGUAUGGGGAUAAAGUUAGGGACGUGUCCCUAUUUGCAGGUACCAUACGAAUAAGGACCGGCUAAUUCCGUGCCAGCAGCCGCGGUAAUACGGAAGGUCCAGGCGUCAUCCGGAUUUAUUGGGUUUAAAGGGAGCGUAGGCUGGAGAUUAAGUGUGUUGUGAAAUGUAGACGCUCAACGUCUGAAUUGCAGCGCAUACUGGUUUCCUUGAGUACGCACAACGUUGGCGGAAUUCGUCGUGUAGCGGUGAAAUGCUUAGAUAUGACGAAGAACUCCGAUUGCGAAGGCAGCUGACGGGAGCGCAACUGACGCUUAAGCUCGAAGGUGCGGGUAUCAAACAGG
rnacentral:rRNA from 1 species